GCAGCUCAGAGCGUGGACAGGGGAUGGAGGCCCACAAGGCCGGGAUGGAGGCUAGAGUACGAUGCCCCAUGCUACCCGCCAGAAGGAGGGAGGCAUAUUU